GGGUGGGCUGCGCCGGGUGCCCGAGGUGGGCAGCCCAGCCUUUCCGCGGGGUUUGCGGCGUCCCUAGGCUUCCUGCCUCCCGGGCAGGGUCCCGGGCCCGCGGCCUCGAUCUCCUUCUUUUCGGGAGUAAACAUUAUUACCAUCCCAAGUUCACGGCUUGGAAAAGGAGGCUCAAAGAGUUGACCAGCCACCAGCCACAAAGCCUGUAAGUGAAGGCAUCUAGCUUCCUUCUACAAAGAGAAAGCCCAGGGCUUGGCGGCACCUUCUCACCACCGCUACCCCCAGCUUCCGUUCCCGGGGCUCUUCACGACCAGCUGGAGACUUCCAGAACCUCUCGAGGGAGCAGCUCUGCUCCAGGGAGCUCUUCUCCAUAAAUCAGGGCUCAGCGCCAAUGUCACUCUCUCCACGAUGUGCCCUCCUCUGUGCCUCGUGAUACAGCGCACACACUUCCGUGUUACAGUCUUGGCCCCUAGUCCACGAGGCUGUGCGCAGCAAGGAAAGGUGUUGUGGGAGUGACGAGCUGCGGAGCUCCUAAGCGGGGAGCUGAGGCCCCAUUUGGGUGGUCCUCCCCACCCCCAACCCUGAGGGUCUGCAGGUCAGUGGGCCUCCCCGCACCGUGCAGGGCAGUUCUGAGCACAGGCACCCCGAGGGCAGGGCACGGACUGGACCAGCCCCUGCAGGAGGCAUGAAACCCUAGAGAGCCUGUUCCCCACUACGUUCCAACUUUCUGGCUCCCUCGCCACCUGUUUUCUGAAUGCAGGCUUUCUUCACACCAAAAUCUGAGUUGCCAGAGACUUUUGGUGAGGCCAGCCGUGCUGAUGGCCAUGGGGCCAAGCUGGGCACAGAAAGGGUGCUGGUCAUUUUCUCGGAAGCUCCAGAGCCCAGGGUUUGCUCUGUUUCACUUUCAAGGCAAACAGAGAUUAAGGAAAAGACUGACGUCAGUAUUUCCCUCUCCGAGGUGAGAAAGCCAGCAAGUCCUGCAGAGCCUAAUAAUUCUGUCUUCUGCUGAAAGUGUGCAGGGCAGAGGCAAACAGCAAGUAGGCAUUGGGCAUCCAGCCAGGCUGCUGCGGUCCUCUUCCCUCCGUCACUGCCCUCUGCUCUCCGGGCGCUCCCUGGCUCACCCAUGCCCCGUCUCAACUGCCAGGCUUUUCACCUGUAACACAAGGCUCCCCGCCCCCACCACAUGGUCUGCACAGCUUUCUCUAGAAUAGUCUUUGCAGAGGGGCGAGCAGCCACCUACCACCAAACUUGUAAAAUCCGCCAGGGAAGAUGCACUUGAAAUAUGCAGUGCCUUUUUUAACUGUAAAAUCAUAUUGAGGUACAUUUUAAGAGUGUUUAUCAGACCUUCGAGCACUGAAGUUCUGGAAAAAUACAGUCUCCGGGACCUCCUCACUUGUGCGGCCAGGAGUCUUCAGAGAAACCCCCAAAUUGUUUUCCUGUUCACAGUUCCCUCCUUUGUUUGCCAACUAAGUCCCAGACAUACUUGAUUUGACUGUGAAGAAAUACUACUUGUUUAUCAUCAGUUACUAUCUAUGCCUAGUUGUCAUGUGGUACAAAAACAGUAAUAGGCAUCAUU